rnacentral:rRNA from 1 species
UACGUAGGGGGCAAGCGUUGUCCGGAUUUAUUGGGCGUAAAGAGCGUGUAGGCGGCCAGGUAGGUCUGCUGUGAAAACUCGAGGCUUAACCUCAAGCUGUCGGCGGAAACCAUCUGGCUAGAGUCCGGAAGAGGAGAAUGGAAUUCCCGGUGUAGCGGUGAAAUGCGCAGAUAUCGGGAAGAACACCCGUGGCGAAGGCGGUUCUCUGGGACGGUACUGACGCUGAGACGCGAAAGCGUGGGGAGCGAACAGG